GAUGAACGCUGGCGGUAUGCCUAACACAUGCAAGUCGUACGAGAGUUUUUAACUCUAGUGGCGGACGGGUGAGUAACACGUGAGAAUUUGCCUUUAGGAGGGGGAUAACAAUUGGAAACGAAUGCUAAUACCCCAUAUGCUUUUGAGUGAAACGGAUUUAUCCGCCUAGAGAGAAGCUCGCGGCUGAUUAGCUUGUUGGUAAGGUAAGAGCUUACCAAGGCGACGAUGGAUAGCCGGCCUGAGAGGACGAUCAGCCACACUGGGACUGAGACACGGCCCAGACUCCUACGGGAGGCAGCAGUGGGGAAUUUUGGACAAUGGGGGCAACCCUGAUCCAGCAAUGCCGCGUGAGUGAAGAAGGCCUCGGUUGUAAGCUCUUUUGUUCAGGGAAGAAACAGCAGCUCUAACACAGACUGCGAAUGACGGUACCUGAAGAAUAAGACACCGGCUAACUACGUG
rnacentral:rRNA from 1 species